GGCGCUGUGGCUUAGUUGGUUACAGCGCCUGUCUAGUAAACAGGAGAUCUUGAGUUCGAAUCUGAACAGUGUCU
rnacentral:tRNA from 1 species